rnacentral:rRNA from 1 species
AUUGAACGCUGGCGGCAUGCUUUACACAUGCAAGUCGAACGAGUGGCGAACGGGUGAGUAAUACAUCGGAACGUGUCCUAUCGUGGGGGGUAACUACUGGAAAAGUUAGCUACUACCGCAUACGAUUAUAUCUGCCGCUGCGGGAUGAGCUAGUUGGUGGGGUAAAGGCUCACCAAGGCGACGAUCGUUAGCUGGUCUGAGAGGAGGACCAGCCACACUGGGACUGAGACACGGUCCAGACUCCUACGGGAGGCAGCAGUGGGGAAUUGUGGACAAUGGGGGCAACCCUGAUGCAGCCAUGCCGCGUGCAGGAUGAAGGUCUUCGGAUUGUAAACUGCUUUGGUCAGGGAAGCGGUACCUGAAGAAGAAGCACCUGCUAACUACGUGCCAGCAGCCGCGGUAAUUC